AUGGAUAACUCCCCGAUAGCUCAGCUCAAGCCUGUCCUCGACCAAGAAUCCCAAGCGAAGCCAAAGAAAGGAGGAUGGAUCACUCUUCCCUUCAUAGCUGCGACCAUGCUGGGGCUGGGGCUGGCCGUUAACGGGACUACCAGCAACAUGCUCGUGUACCUGCUCAAGGAGUACCACGUGGACGGCGUCGAUGCCGCGCAGAUCACCAACAUCGUCCGUGGCUCCCUCAACCUGGUGCCCAUCGCCGGCGCCAUCCUCUCCGACUCCUACCUAGGCUGCUUCCCCGUCAUCCUCGCGGGAGCGGCCAUCAACCUUCUGUCUUUUGUGCUGUUCACGCUCACCGCAGCGCUGCCAUCCUUGCGGCCGCCACACUGCACAUCACUGUCGGCCAAGUGUCAGCAAGCAUCCCCGGGGCAGCUCGCCGUGUUGUACGGUGCCAUCUGCCUUCUCGCCAUUGGCGCUGGCGGGACACGUUUCAACAUCUCGACGAUGGGUGCGGACCAGUUCGAAAGCACGAGCGACAAGGACACCUUCUUCAACUGGUACAUGGUCUUCCUCUACACCUCCUUCAUGCUUGGCGACACAGCCAUCGUCUACAUCCAGGACAGCAUUUCAUGGGCCGUGGGCUUUGGUGUUUGCCUCGCCACUUCGGCGUUGGGCCUGGUCAUGCUUCUUCUGGGCGUACGUUACUACCAGAUGCCGGCAACAAAGGGCAACCCAUACACAGAGCUGGCUCGCGUCAUUGUUGCUUCCGUGCGCAAGGUUGGCAUCAAAGUCGGCGGCGUACACGGCAGUGUGCAGUACAACGUCGGUGCCGGCGCCCUUGUGGACUCGGCCGCUGACGAGGCACCAAGCAAAAACUUAAGAUUUCUGAAUCGAGCCGCCAUGAUCACUGCAAGUGACGACAGCUCCAGGUCCGGAGAUGGAUCAGGUGGUGCGUGGCGGCUGUGCACAGUGCAGCAGGUGGAGGGCCUCAAGGCCCUCCUCAGCAUCAUCCCGGUGUGGUCAUCCGGUAUACUGUUGUUCAUGUCGAUCGGCGUGAUGAUCGGCAUGAUCGUCCUGCAGGCGCUCGCUAUGGACCGCUCCGUUGGACCACACUUCAGCAUCCCGGCGGGGUCGGUCGCCGUCAGCUGUCGCGUCUCGUUCAUCUUGGCCACCCUGGUCCUGGACCGUGUUGUAUUCCCUCUUUGGCGCAGGAUCACCGGUGGCACGCCACCGACACCGCUGCAGCGCGUGGGCAUCGGCCACGUUUUAAAUGUCACUGCCAUGGUCGCUGCCGCACUGGUGGAGCGCCGGAGGCUUGCGCAACCUGGCGUGCCCAUGUCCGUGAUGUGGCUCCUGUUCCCGCUGGGCAUCGUCGGGGUCGGGGAGGCCCUGCACUUCCCUGGGAGCAUGGCUUUCUACUACCAGGAAUUUCCCAACACGCUGCGGAGCCUGGCUACGGCCAUGGCUCCGAUGCUCGUAGCGUUAGGAUUCUUCUCGAGCACCAUGUUUAUGGACGUGGUGACGCGGAUCACGGCGUGGCUGCCGGAGAACAUAGACCACGGGAGGCUGGACAACGUAUACUGGACGCUUGCGGCUUCGGGGACACUCAACCUUGCAUAUUUCCUCGCCUGCGCCAGGCGAUACAAGUACCACAACCGAGCGGCAACAUAG
rnacentral:rRNA from 1 species